GAUGAACGCUGGCGGCGUGCCUAAUACAUGCAAGUCGAACGCUGAAGGAAGGAGCUUGCUCUUUCCGGAUGAGUUGCGAACGGGUGAGUAACGCGUAGGUAACCUGCCUGGUAGCGGGGGAUAACUAUUGGAAACGAUAGCUAAUACCGCAUAACAGUAGAUGUUGCAUGAUAUCUACUUAAAAGGUGCAAUUGCACCACUACCAGAUGGACCUGCGUUGUAUUAGCUAGUUGGUGAGGUAACGGCUCACCAAGGCGACGAUACAUAGCCGACCUGAGAGGGGGAUCGGCCACACUGGGACUGAGACACGGCCCAGACUCCUACGGGAGGCAGCAGUAGGGAAUCUUCGGCAAUGGACGGAAGUCUGACCGAGCAACGCCGCGUGAGUGAAGAAGGGUGUCGGAUCGUAAAGCUCUGUUGUAAGAGAAGAACGAGUGUGAGAGUGGAAAGUUCACACUGUGACGGUAUCUUACCAGAAAGGGACGGCUAACUACGUG
rnacentral:rRNA from 1 species